rnacentral:rRNA from 1 species
UACGUAGGUGGCAAGCGUUGUCCGGAUUUACUGGGCGUAAAGAGCGCGCAGGCGGUCGUUCAAGUCGCGUGUGAAAUCCCUCGGCUCAACCGAGGAAUUGCGCCCGAUACUGCAGUGCUUGAGGGAGACAGAGGUAAGCGGAACUGAUGGUGGAGCGGUGAAAUGCGUUGAUAUCAUCAGGAACACCGGUGGCGAAAGCGGCUUACUGGGUCUCUUCUGACGCUGAGAUACGAAAGCUAGGGGAGCGAAGGGG